rnacentral:lncRNA from 1 species
UCUGAACCAACUCCUCCUCAAAGGUCAGAUUUGGUUGAACCUCAAUUUCCUUAACAGGCACAAUAUGCGUGGGAUCAGAGCGGUAGCACAUUAACAAAGAGACGUGGAACACAUCGUGAAUCCUAUCCAACUCCGGAGGUAGCUCCAAUUGAUAGGCGACUGGCCCUACUCUUUUCAGAAUACGAUACUACCCAAUAAACCUAGGGUUUAGCUUACCCUUGCGACCGAGCCUCAGAAUCUUCUUUCAUGGCGAGAUCUUGAGAAACACGAAAUCCC